rnacentral:rRNA from 1 species
GAUGAACGCUGGCGGCGUGCCUAAUACAUGCAAGUCGAGCGAACAGACGAGGAGCUUGCUCCUCUGACGUUAGCGGCGGACGGGUGAGUAACACGUGGAUAACCUACCUAUAAGACUGGGAUAACUUCGGGAAACCGGAGCUAAUACCGGAUAAUAUAUUGAACCGCAUGGUUCAAUAGUGAAAGACGGUUUUGCUGUAACUUAUAGAUGGAUCCGCGCCGCAUUAGCUAGUUGGUAAGGUAACGGCUUACCAAGGCAACGAUGCGUAGCAGACCUGAGAGGGUGAUCGGCCACACUGGAACUGAGACACGGUCCAGACUCCUACGGGAGGCAGCAGUAGGGAAUCUUCCGCAAUGGGCGAAAGCCUGACGGAGCAACGCCGCGUGAGUGAUGAAGGUCUUCGGAUCGUAAAACUCUGUUAUUAGGGAAGAACAAAUGUGUAAGUAACUAUGCACGUCUUGACGGUACCUAAUCAGAAAGCCACGGCUAACUACGUG